rnacentral:rRNA from 1 species
UACGUAGGUGGCAAGCGUUAUCCGGAUUUAUUGGGCGUAAAGGGAACGCAGGCGGUCUUUUAAGUCUGAUGUGAAAGCCUUCGGCUUAACCGGAGUAGUGCAUUGGAAACUGGGAGACUUGAGUGCAGAAGAGGAGAGUGGAACUCCAUGUGUAGCGGUGAAAUGCGUAGAUAUAUGGAAGAACACCAGUGGCGAAAGCGGCUCUCUGGUCUGUAGCUGACGCUGAGGUUCGAAAGCGUGGGUAGCAAGCAGG